rnacentral:rRNA from 1 species
UAACACGUAAAGAAUCUGCCCUGAAGCGGGGAAUAACUAUCCCAACGGAUAGCUAAUACCGCAUAAUGAUGGAGGUGGCAUCACCUCUUCUCAAAAGGCUUCGGCCACUUCAGGAUGACUUUGCGUCCCAUUAGCUUGUUGGCGGUGUAACGGACCACCAAGGCGACGAUGGGUAUCCGGCCUGAGAGGGUGUACGGACACAUUGGGACUGAGAUACGGCCCAG